rnacentral:rRNA from 1 species
UUUGUUUUUUAAUUAAAAACUAGAAUGAAAGGUUAUACAUUCAAAUUUCUUUAUUAAUUUUUAAUAAAUAAUUUAUAUUAAAUAUAAAAAUAUAUUUAUAUUAAAAAAAGACGACAAGACCCUAUUAAAUUUUACUUAUAGUUUAGCUGGGGAAGCUUUUCAAUUAAAAUUUUUUAAAUUAAAAUAAAUAAAAAUCUAAUAAAAUUAAAUUUUAAUAAAUUACUAUAGGGAUAACAGCAUUAUAUUUUUAAAAAGUUCAUAUUAAAAAAAAUGAUUGUGACCUCGAUGUUGAAUUAUAUUUUCUAUAUUUAAUGCAAUAAUUAUAUAAGUAGAUCUGUUCGAUCUUUAAAAUAUUACAUGAUUUGAGUUCAAACCGGUGUAAACCAGGUUGGUUUCUAUCUUUUUAUAUAUUUUUCUAGUACGAAAGGACAAAAAAAUUUUUAUUCUAAUAAAUUAGCAAAUAUAUGCAUUAGAUUUAGAAUCUAAAUAUAAUUAAUAAUUUUUUUAUCAAUUCUUUAUUAUCAAUUAUUAUAUUUUUAAUUUCAGUAGCAUUUUAUACAAUUUUAGAACGAAAAAUUUUAAGAUAUAUUCAAAUUCGAAAAGGUCCAAAUAAAGUAGGAUUUUUAGGAAUUUUACAACCCUUUAGUGAUGCUAUUAAAUUAUUUAAUAAAAAUUUAAUUACAUCUGAAAGAAUAAAUUUUAUAUUAUCAUAUUCAACACCAGCAUUAUCUUUAAUUCUAAGAAUAAUAAUUGUAUCUAUAUUACCAAUAUAUUUUUAUUCUUCAUUUGAUAAUAAAAAUAAUAUUUUAAUAUUUUUUGUAAUUUCAAGAUUAGCAGUAUAUUCUAUUUUU